UUUUUCUGGACAAACAAUUUUAUUUUAGGUAAUGCGUCUAUACACUGUACAUUCAGUCACUGUGGUAUAUAAGCAUAGCUAUUUUCAUACAUAAUCUCAUAAAGUCCUUUAUUUUACAAUAUUAUCUGCUUCAAGGGGAGGGGAUGUGGAAAAGGGGGUGGAAAAGGACUAUCAAGGUACACAGCGAAAUAGAUAAAUAUGCCAAGCUUUUUUCUUAUUUUUUUUUAAAUCAGGCAUUUAUAAACAAGAAAGCAUACAUUACUUACAUAAAAAUAGUUCUAGAAUAGUAGAGUAAGUCAUAAUAUUGUCAUUAGCAGCAGCAUAGGAGAGACCAGGAUAACAAAAAUGUGCUGAAAUGCUAUUGGCUAUUAUAAAUGUAAAGAUUUAUUUUUCUUCAAUUGAAAAAAUGUCAUUUCUGUGAGUUCUUUUGAUUAAAAAAAAAAAAAACAAAACCAAAAUAAAACAACAACCCAACCAACAAAAAACUUCUCUCUAAAACACAUGGACUGAUGAGAGGGCAGAAUGGAAAGAGAAUCAACCUUUUGGUAAUAAAAUACUUUACAGUGAAAAUAAGGACAAAUAAAAUGCAAAUGAUGGAGAAAGGUUAACCCACAUUUAAAACUUGCAAAAAGAUUUUGUUUUGUUUUUCCUAACAGACAGCAAAGGUUCUUCUUAGUUAAAAACACAACUCAUAAAACAAGACAACUACCAGGUAAGAAAGAGUUUUGAAAAAGUAAACACCAUAUACACUUAUAAUACAACAGUGUAAAAUGAAAAAAAGUAUUUACAUGUUGAAUUUACUUUUAACUUUUUUUUUACAUUGGCUAGUUCUGUUUGAAAAGCAGAAUAUUAUGUAUACUAGUUAGCUGCUCCAUAGAUAUGAAUGUUAUUGCUGUUGGUUUUUUUUUUCCCUUCGUUAAGUCUUCUUUCAGUAAUAGAAACAAUGAGUAAUUAAACUGAAUAUACAAGUAUUAAGUAAUAUAUUUUUAAGUACAGGGAGAGUCAACAGCCUGUAUGAAACACCUCUUCUCCCUUUUAACUUCUUAAAGGAAACUAAAGAGCAGAUGAAAUGAGAAGAUGUGACACUACAGCUCCUACGCUGGGGGCCGGGGCCGGGACUCGGCGGGAAGCCGAAGGAGAAGCCGUUCCCCGCACGGGGGUUGCUGACGACCUGCGCACAGAAAUUACACACAGAACUCCCUCACCGUAAGCACCUUCGUGACAUUUUUUUGCUCUGAAGCUUCCCACCAUUUUGACGGCCGUUUUGUAGAAUUAGUGUCUCUGUGGCCAUCCCCUGGCAAUUUUAAAAAUACCUGCAUGGGAACUCCGAAUUGGAAAUAAAUUGUGUAUUCCGCAGAAAUGAGGAUUUUAUGGUUAAUUUUGUCCUUCCUAAAUACAUUUUAUUUAAGGUAGACUCUGAUCCUGUAAACUUCUCCUGCUGAUUAACUGCUGGUGUAGAACGUUGUUCCCAGUCGUCUUGCACCUUAUUUAAUCUUACAGACUUUACACCUUAAUUUACAGAAACAUUUUUACGAGGAAGUUUUCCCUCCCAAGGUUCAAACAUGACUGAGUGUUAACCUCAGACAGUGUCAAGUGAAUUUGUCACACGUGACACCUGACAGAAUUACCGGAAUGUGUGGCAGAAGGGGAAACCGUGGUUUUGUAACUUUAUUUUGGAGAUUUCUGUCUUGUGAAUCUCAUCCCAUUUACGUGUGAAGCGCAGGAGGCGCUGGUUGGUUGACAAGACUAUUGGUAAGAUUAUUAACGGUUCUGUUUUUCCUUGGGGAAAAAAAAAUAAAUGCAGAUUUCACUAAUUUUGGAGGAUAAAAGUGCCCUGUGCACGGAAGAAGCUGCGCUGGUGCCUCGGUACCUUCCCCAGACACGCAAGAAAGAAGAACUAGGUCACGUGCUGUGGGUAAGGGGCUGCUCUGCCUCGGAGAGCAGAGCGGGGUGGCCGUGCUGCUGGUUUCUGGUGAGUCCUAAGGGGAGAGACACCACCAAAGAUCAGGGGGAAAAACCCAAACAAAGUGUAGAAAGUAAAAAGCUGCCAGGCAGCUGGCAGUGGGGGUGGGAAUACAUUUGUUCUAUGUGUAAUUUCUUAACAUGGCAGUGAAGCGUAGCACAUGAGACUCUGAAAUGCACAAUGAUCAACUAUGGCUAAAAUGAUUUAGUUUCCCUUGAAGAAAUAAGUGAAUAACACAGAUCUGGAAAUCAUAAGGCUGAGAACAUUUUUAUGCAUACCGCAUAACAAAAUAAACCCUUUACAUAAGACAGUAAUAAUGCCCAUUAAUGAGUAUACGUAUGGCAGAGAUUUUAAUUCCAUGCAUAUGAUUUAAUAAUCGCAGAAAAAAAAAACCAUACAAAGAAGCAAAAAAAAAAAAAACAAACCACAUUAAAAAAACCUGCUUAAGCAUAAUCAAAAUUCCUUUUGCAUUGCACUUUAGAAGAGGAGAGCUGCACCUAGACUCAGUCUCCAGCAUCCCAAACACAAGGGCAAGCCCCUGCAGGAACGGACAGUUUCAUGUCAUUUACUUGGUGUCACUGUUUCUUGCUCCCAACAGUUUGACAUUGUCCCAGUAAUUCUACUCCUUUCAUAUUUCUUCUUUUUGUACCUAAAACAUAUAUAUGAACUUCUCUGUUAAUGCUCACAGUUAUUAUAAUGGUUAUUAUAAUGGUUUCAAGCAAACAGCUCUUGUUUAAAAAAAAAAAAAAAAAAAAAAAUCUCUCUAAUGUACUGUAAGUAAAUACUAUAAUUUUAGGAUUGGAAGCCGCUUUCUGUCUACUGGGAAAUAAUUUUUAAGCUUACAUAGUUUGCAUUAAUGUCCAAAAGCAAAUAAAGAUUACUGGAAAUAUGUUUCUUCGUUUAGAAUAACUUCUGUGUAUGACGAUGCAUAGGGUUUUCUUUUUUUUUUUUUCUUUUUAUUCUUUAAGGUUAAAAAAAAAAAAAGUGUCAGCAUUGCCUAUAUAAGAUGCUGAGAGGAAAAAUGAGCUGGAAGGCACAUCUACAGCCCCAGAUCAAAUUUUCACUUCAUGCUGAUAAGCUUGAGUGUACAAGAGUAUCCGGUAAUGCGAUGUUGCACUCUCCUUGGGCACAGAAAUCCUGACUGACAGUUCAUAAUAAAAGCAGGUAAAUACUGAAUUUAUGGUAAGAUGGUGCAACAAAGAUGAGUCUUCCAGAAAACUGAAAGCUGAAGUAAGAUUUCAGAAUGACUUCAGAACGUGUAUGUCUUCUGCUUUAUUUCUCAACCAACUUAACAGAUCAUCCAUUUCCUUCUUUUAUUUCCAUCUGUCUUUUCCUAAAGCUGAAGUGCUCUUGGAUGAAGUCAGUCUUUUGAACACAUCAAUUAAUGAAGAUGUCUUUAGAAAAGAUGGUGUGAGUUGCAAACACGGGUCUGUAAGGCUGGGUUUGUAAUUCUAAAGCAUACCUAUUCCCCUCCCCCCUUUACAAUCCUGCAUCUUCCUUUCUUCUUGUGUUCAGGACAGGAAAUGAAGAUAAUUCUUGCUAAGGAAAAAAAUCAACUUUGAAAAGUACUCGGAAAUUCAUACAACCACGUGACGGGCUUAGAACUGUGAUGGCUUCCUAGAUGGCUGGAAAACUGCUAAUGAAAUGGCAUCAUCACCAGAGGGCUUCUACGUGGAGAAUCCCAGCGCCUAUAACAAGUCCUUAAAAAUUGUGCAUCGAAGGUUUCUUUUGUUUUGCUUUUAAAGGUUCAUUAUAAAAAUCUUGUUAAUUUUUUAAUACCAAGUCUGUGUAAUGAAUUAUUUUAAAUAGCUUAUAAGAAAAGUUUGUUUGUUUUUUAAAUUCCAAAAUGUCCCAACAGGCAGAAGGGCAACAUAAAAACACGGCCAUGCUCGCCUUUGACUCUGAUUUUAGUUGGACGAUGCUGCUUGCUUGGAGUUUGCCAGUAGAAAAUUUGCUGUGGACUUAAAAGUAUUUUGUUUAUAAACACUUUGUGUUUUAUAGGCACAGUAAGACGUUGUGCUAUAUGGACUGGGAAAAAAAAAAAAGAGGCGUAAUUCAGUGCUUCUGUUAUAAC